UACAGAGGUCUCAAGCGUUGUUCGGAUUCAUUGGGCGUAAAGGGUGCGUAGGCGGCGCGGUAAGUCGGGGUGUGAAAUCUCGGAGCUUAACUCCGAAACUGCAUUCGAUACUGCCGUGCUUGAGGACUGGAGAGGAGACUGGAAUUUACGGUGUAGCAGUGAAAUGCGUAGAUAUCGUAAGGAAGACCAGUGGCGAAGGCGGGUCUCUGGACAGUUCCUGACACUGAGACACGAAGGCCAGGGGGAGCAAAACGGGG
rnacentral:rRNA from 1 species